CAGUCGCCGCGGGAAUACGUAGGUGGCAAGCGUUGUCCGGAAUUAUUGUGCGUAAAGGGCUCGCAGGCGGUUUCUUAAGUCUGAUGUGAAAGCCCCCGGCUCAACCGGGGAGGGUCAUUGGAAACUGGGAAACUUGAGUGCAGAAGAGGAGAGUGGAAUUCCACGUGUAGCGGUGAAAUGCGUAGAGAUGUGGAGGAACACCAGUGGCGAAGGCGACUCUCUGGUCUGUAACUGACGCUGAGGAGCGAAAGCGUGGGGAGCGUACAGGAUUAGAUACCCCUGUAGUCCCUGUCUCUUAUAA
rnacentral:rRNA from 1 species